GAACGGGGUAACAGACAAGUGGUUUACCCUUUUAGCCUCCACUGAAGCAAACAGAGAGGAGAUAAAACCCCAGGCAGGCAGAAUGGAGCAAGCUGGCGAUAACGCGGCUUUGCACCCACAGGAGAGAGCACGAGUUGAGCAGAAGUGACUUCAUUACCUUUUUGUGCUGCGCUCAAAUCUGGGUAAAAGCAAAGCCCUGAGAGCACGGAGGGGCGAGGUCUGGAGGCAGCGGGGCCGCACACAGGUAGAGUCACUCAGGGGGAACCGUGUGCAGGCUCAGGGUGGGAGCGUUUAGUGGGAUGGGGGGGUGAACAAGAGGCACCCAAAAUACGUAAACAGAUGGCGAUUUACCAGCCGGGAAGAGCUUUAGCAUGGCUCACGUUUCUGUAUUAACAUAAGCAAAUUGAUUCCCAACUAUUGAUGAUUUAAUCGUUUCCUUGUCCACACAAUGUAUAUAUUCACACCUGCCAAACCCUUCAGGUCUCUUUGCUUUGGCCACAAAACGAUGGAAGGCUCUGAAAGCCCAACGGGCUGUUCCCCCAGCCCUUCCCCCUUUGCCUGGAUGUUCACGAGGAAGGAACUCUUUGUGUGGCUGAAAACCUGACACUCCUCUGGCUCCUGCCAAGGCUGCCAGGAGAGCAAGAAGAGCCAAUGCUGCUGGGGCUCAGCACGGUGCCGAAAAGCGCACCAGCCCCCCAGGAGAGCAGCGCAGCUCCCUCGGGGAUGAGCAUCCCUCCUGGAAGGGGCUCUCCCUUCGUGCUGUGGGAGAAAUAAAUGCACAAACUGAGAGCAUUUGAGCGUGCUGGUGUAGAGGGUGAUAUGUACCCUGCCGGCCUCUCGGCAUCCUCAUCUGCAUUUCACGGGCUCCGUUCAGGUGCUGAUUGGCUGCACUGCUGGUUAUCUGGCACUGCCUGCCUGCACCGAGGGCUGGAAGGUCUCUGGGCUGUGGGAAUAGUUGGGAAGGGACACGCGGAUGGGUUUUGUACCAACCUGGGUGAGGAGGAGACACAGACUCCGAGAACUGGAUGCUGCUGCUGCCCCACGAGACCUGGCCAAAGAGAAGCGAAGAGGAGGGUUUGUGGAUGCUGCAACACAGAGGCAUUUUUCUGCGUGCUGAGGUGUCCUAAUACCCAGCUCCAUCUGGUGCUACUGUUGAAUCCAUUUAAAUUCCUGUCAUAUUUGCCGCUCUUAGGACCUGAAAAUAGAUGUGGGAACCACUUCAUCUGGCAGAUGAAGAGCAGGAAUAAAACAAUGCAAAUAUGUGGGUGGUUAUUCAGAGGGCUAAAUAAAACACAAAUAAAAUGACUGCUUUCAUGAA